AAUGGGACACUGAUAGGCUUUUGUGCCUCUAUGACAUAGAUUCUAACUCACCUUUAACAACUGCUAAAAUGCACCAACUGAUAAAAAAAUUAAUGGACUUAAUACUGUGGCAUAAAUUAAAAAUCAAUAGACACUCCUGUUAGUGCUUUCAAAAAAAGAAAAAAAACCCUUUUAUGGCAAAGGCUUUGACAACCUCUUCCCAGGCCUCCUGGAGUCUCUGAACCACUUAUAAUGGUCAUUAAUUGCCCCAGGCUUCUAAUGGAAGAAAUUGCCUCUCUCAGCCUCGUGCUAUACACCAUUAAAACAACAAAUGACUGGCUGGAAAUAGAGGCUUUCACAGAACAGAUCCUGAGCCUGUGACCUUCCACAUCCAGCUGCCCAUUAUCCUUUGGUUCACGGAAACAGCCCUGACAAGCUCAGCAUGGCUACAGAGGCCUCCUAAAGAGAGGGUGGAGCGAAACCUGGGCCCUCUGAUAUAUGCACCUGUGGACGGAGACUCUUCCCUGUCCUCUAUCCCUUGUCAGAUGCCAGGGUAUUAGAUAUGGCUAUCCUUUCCCCACACCUCUUUACCAUCUGGGAAGCCCCUUGGGAUUCACUGAGUGAAUAGCAAUGGAAGUUUGUACACUAGGCAGAUAGCACUGAUGAACAUUCUAUGUGGUGAGGCUAAGGGGAGAGCUGCUGCUUCCCAUCCCUUAGCCAGGAUGUCUCUGAUAAAUGAUGGGACAAAAACCAACAGACUUGGACCAAGUUCAGGCAGUCAUCUUAGCACUGGAUGCCCUGACGAAGUGAUGACCCCAUCCUCAUGUUUAUCAUAAACUAUUAGGCCAUUACUUAAAAAUUGUUCUCUCCAAGGUAAAAAAAACAAAACAAAACACAAAAACACUUUAGUAAUCUUUUGCCUGAUGGACACCCAAAAUAUAAAUAAAAAUCACAUCUCCACCUAUAACAAGGCCACAAUACAAAACUUUGCCAGGACAUCCCUUUUUCCCUUCAGAGUUACAGGCUUUGUUGGUACUAACCAAGACACACAUAGCACUUCUUAGAACACACCAUGCUGGGCUCUUGAGGAAGGCACUCAAUAGACCUUCCAUGUCCCUGAUACGAACCAGUAACUGCUUUAACUGAGAGACAGAAUAGUCUCCUCAAACAACUUCUUUUCAAAUUCCAGUACAACAAAUAAACCUCUAAACUUCUCUAUCUUAACUCUCUGACCUUAACCUAUCAUUAUACAUUUUUGAUCUUGUCCCUGUCCCACAAGGAUUGGAGGUGAGAUCAAGGGCACAUUCUCUCCUAGGAAUGAUUAACCAUAGACUCACAACUAGGCAGCUGCUCAUCUGAUAUGGGAUCCAUUUGAACCUAAACUUCCACCAGAAACAAAAGCCCUGUUGGGUGCAACUAUACACCAUUCUAUUAACUCCUGGUGUUAUUACUACCAAUUUGAGCACUUUCAUUGGUUUGCAAUCUGGUGACCCGACUGUGAACCAAGUAAGAUUGUAAACUAACGUAAGAGUGGGUACACACUUUAAAAGGAUACCCUAGUCCCACAUCCCAGAUGACAUCACCCUGGCCCAAAAUCCCACCCCUGAUGACGACAUCAACCUCAGACAAUAUUGCUCCAACCAAAGACCCUGUCAUUGCAGAUGACUUCGCCCUCUGCAUGGAAAUAAUUUCACCUGACACUAAAAACUCUGCCCCACCAACACCUAUGGGCUGCCUCUCCUAAGGCAUGAAUGGACACAGGAUUUAUUUUUGCUUUUCUUCCUGGACUCACUCUCUGCUUAGCCAAUGAUCCCAGUAUACUCCUUGCUGUCUGCUCACAUGUCCACCCAUACAUUCCCAUACCUAAAGGAGAAUCUGUUACUAAAAUCAAUGAGAUUAUUUCUUCCCCCUGGGUGGCACCUGCCUCAUUUAAGGCAAUCUCCUGGGAGAGAGGACCAUCCACUCCAUGAUGGGUUUCCUACUACACCCUCCAGCUUUCUGCCACAAUCUCUCAAUUUGCAUAUCCAAACAAAUCUCUCAAUUUGCAUUUCCAAACAGCUCUGCCCCUUGGUUUCAUGUAAUGCUACUAAUCUUUACAUAUACUUUAUCAGUUCAACAUAACACAAAACAACAUAACUUCCCUACUAAAAUGCAUAAAUUGUUUGUUAAAUGAUACUGUUCCCCUUAUAGUUUGUAUCUCCACCACUCAAACUGUAACUGUCUUACAUUCAGAAGGUGAUUCCAGGGACUAAAGGAGGGAUUUUCAUACAUUUGUUUAAUAUCAGUGCUGAAUAUUAUUUAAUUUGACUUCCCUUUUCAGGCCUGACAGAAGUUGUUUGACACCCAGGGCUACUCUGUCACCUUUGGCGGAGUUAAAAUCUCGUCCUCCUUCUGCGGCUGCUUAACCCACUUGUUCCUCACGCCACUGACGCAGCCCAAGGAACCCCAAAGCUGCUGACCAUGAGCAAACCUAAUGGCCCACACCGGAGUCAUGUAAAUAAGUCCCCUCUUCACACAUGUUUACUUUAAACUCCCCAGUCCGCAACUCCAGCAGGAAAGCCUAAGGGAUAACGCCCACGGAGCUUAGGCCUGGCCCCACAGGCCCUCCUCCUCUCCCCCAACUCUCCACACACUAGGAGAGCUAUCUGCCACUCCUGGACAUCCUAUCAGCGCCCCCAGAAGCACUCCCGACCUCUCUGGAACUAUUUGCAUCAAAGAUUAUGAGCAACAUGGAUCUGUAAUGUUCUUUCUUAAAAAGUUAUUCACUCAGGGUGAUCAGAUGUCUAUUCAAAACAGCCAACAAUGAGCUAAAGGAGUGCUGUUCCAGCCAGAAUCCUACUGCUACCACAAGUGAUGAAAGCACAAGAAAUCCUCCACAAAGGUAUUCUACAACUAAACUUCUGAACUAAGGGUUGGAGAAAACUGGCUCUUUAAAUUUCAAAAUAAAAAUCAGUUUGUCUAUCAAUAUAAGGCAAUAAAUACUCAUUCACCACC
rnacentral:lncRNA from 1 species